AUCGGGUCAGACCCGAGGCGCACUGCUCAGUAACACGUGGAGAAUCUGCCCUUAGGUGAGGAAUAACCUCGGGAAACUGAGAAUAAUACCUCAUAGGUUAUGGAUGCUGGAAUGCUUCAUAGCCCAAAGCCCUGGCGCCUAAGGAUGACUCUGCGGACUAUCAGGUAGUAGUCAGGGUAACUACCUGACUAGCCUACGACGGAUACGGGGUGUGAGAGCACUAGCCCGGAUAUGGAUUCAUAUACACGAAUCCAGGCCCUACGGGGUGCAGCAGGCGCGAAACUUCCUCAAUGCUCGCCACAGUGACGGAGGGAUUCCAAGUGCCUAUGCUAUGCGUAGGCUGUCUUUAUGUCUAAAUAACAUGGAGAGUAAGAGCUGGGUAAGACGGGUGCCAGCCGCCACUGUAAUACCUGCAGCUCGAGUGGUAACCGCUAUUAUUGGGCCUAAAGCGUCCGUAGCCGGUUUGGUAAAUAUCUGGGUAAAUCGUGAGGC
rnacentral:rRNA from 1 species